UACCCGCGGCCCGAGUGGUGCUCAUUAUUAUUGAGUCUAAAACGUCCGUAGCCGGUCGGGUAGAUUCCUGGGUAAAUCGAAUCGCUUAACGAUUCGAAUUCCGGGGAGACCGCCCAACUAGGGACCGGGAGAGGCGCGAGGUACUCCUGGGGUAGGGGUAAAAUCCUGUAAUCCUGGGAGGACCACCAGUGGCGAAGGCGUCGCGCUAGAACGGAUCCGACGGUCAGGGACGAAGCCCAGGGGCGCAAACGGG
rnacentral:rRNA from 1 species